CUUUAAAAUUUUUCUCUUUCCUUUCUUUUUAUAAUGAAUAUUUUUGCGAUCAUCAGUAUUUCAUAUCCACGAGAAAACAAUAAUAUCGGCGAUAUUCACGUUGAACAUGUUACAAUGUGGUACGUUGUUGGAUCGGAUAUAUUGCGUGCGUAUCAACUUACCCAUGACGGAUCGAAAACAAAUGCAAAACUAUAUGCAAAACUAAAAUAUUGAGAAAAAAUAAGAGAAACCAAUCGUGGAAGUAUGUAUAUGGGAAAAUAUCAUCAUUAGAAUUAAAUGAUUUAUAAAAAUCAAAAUUAACUCGACAUGUGUCUACUGUCAUCCUUUAUUCUUGCAAUAAUAUUUUGAAAAAUAAAGAAAUAUUAGAUAGAACAUUUUAAUUAAAGAGCAUCAUCCUUGAAAAGAAUUAUUGCAAACAUUCUUUAGUUUUCUGGGAAACGGCGGAUUCUGUUAGUGGCGUAGUUUUUCAGUCUCAUUCUAGGAAUUUUUCUUAGAUUGGAGUUGUCGCUCAAUCAGAGAGCUGGUCCACAAUAUUAUUGAUCAUUUGUGUAUCCCACUAAAGAUUUGCAAUCUCGCGAGAUAAGCAUGGAAGAAGUUUUAGAGAAAAAAUUCAUCCAAUAUACCUGUCACUGCACACUGUUAACGUACACAGACACCCUUAAGAUGUUAUGGAGAAGCAGGAUUCCUUAUUAUUGCUGAUCUCUUCAGGAAAGAGAAACCUAUAUGAUUUUGCAAAAUGUGGUCUUUAUCUGGAUCAUCAGAAUGUUGUUUAGAAUAUUCGAUAUGUUGAAAUAGUUGGAUGAACCUGUACACAAGUGUCCUGCAAAAUUCCUUGAUAUUAGCACAGGAAAGAUAAGAUAUCGCUAUCUUUUGUGAAAUCAAGAUCACCGAAAAUAAAAAAAUUGCGAUCACUUUUAAAUAAUGCACGAAAUAGAUUUUUAGAUGGAGAAAGUGAAACUAGAAUGAAAAGAAAAAGAGUCCUUUUUUGUAUUAGUAGUAUCUAUCUUACAGAAAGUUAUUGAUUAUAACCUGCUUUAUGCUUUACCCCCAAUUUAUCAUUAUUUAAUAUAUUGAUGAAAUUU